GUUGCCUAACAACUGUAAAUUUAAAGUGACAGCUUUAUAAGAACAGAGUGGCACCAAGAGGAGAGAUCAGGUCAGAAUCAAACAAAUAUAUAUUUUUAAGUUACUACAAGUAGAAAUACAUAAUUCUUUUUUAUUUGAUAAAAGUUUACUUACAAGAUAGUUGCAGUUUUUGGAGUUCUGUGGUCCUCGGGAAACUGGCUCCCUUUCACCAGCAGCUGGAGCAAAAGCGGUUUGUCACGCACCAAACCCCCAUGGCUCCAGGUGUGGAAUGAAAGCAGCAAUAGUUCCAGCGGUUUGCUUCAGAAAAGGUCCCAACAACUCCUCUGUGUGGAACCAAAAUCCCCUUCUCCCUCCCCUUGUGACCCUCCUCCACUCAGUACUAAUCUCCUUGUGCCCAUUGGAUUGACAGCAGUACCUUUCAGCGGGCUGAGACCCCCUUCACCCUGCACCCCAUGGGGCUCAUCGCAGUUUGGCCUAUUUUGCAGACCUCCUCCUCUUCUCCUGCAGAUGAAGCGUGGACAGCAACUUUACCGCGGAGUGCAUUCUUCUGUAAAGAUUGACGGACCCCAUGAAGACCAGUCCCAAAGUAUCCAAGUAUCCAUGCAACAACUGUAAUUAAUGUGAUACUUCAAAUGUUUUAACUUAUUUAUAUAGUUAAAUUUAAUUAAUAAGGUGCCACCAUUCCCAUGAGUUAAAACAUGUUGUUGAAAUUAAACCCUAAAGAGACCGGCUUUUCAAGUACAGGAAGAUCCCCUUACACGUUACAUAUAAGGAUCCCAUGAGGACCAAUAUAGAC
ensembl:lncRNA